CCUUGGGAAUCCACUUCUCCCCUGCCUCUUGGCCUGGUGACCUCAGAGAAAAGACUCCCAAGUCUAAUUCCCAAGCUUACAAUUCCCUCCAGUUGUGUGCUCUGUCCGGGGUUCAAAAGGCGCUUCAAGGAAAUAUCAUGAACUGCCGGCCAAUAGAAAUGUUACCCUGAUUGCUGGUAGAUGCCUGGAACAAUCUGAUGAAAACUAUGGACUCUUCUCAGAGAUAAGGAAACUGAGGUCUGAAGUUACAUGGCUUCCCAAAGAUCACAGGGCCAUGAAGGUCUCUACCUGUCUUUCAAAUCCAGGUCUCCUUUCUCAGAGUCUAGUGUUCCUCAACUGUUCCUGCAACUCAGUAUUUCCGUGACUGUUUUGAUUGGAGCAGGCGUGUAGGUAAACA